rnacentral:RNase_MRP_RNA from 1 species
NNNNNNUCUGAAGGCUUGCUUACUGGGCUACAAACUGGGAACAAGUUUCUCCUCCUCUUGCCCAGGGGAAAGUCCCCGGACCCGUGGCAGAAAGUGCCCUGGUUGAAACCAGUGUCGAACUGCGCUCCACCGUCACAAAGCUAAGAUGUUCCUCAGAACGGAGCUUGGUGAUCGCUUGUCGACUUUGUCAGCGUUACUAGUAAUGCAAGUAAGCUGCUAAUAACGCCUUAACAGAACGGGGCUCAUUCUCAGAAUGCU